AGCAACGCCUGCAACGAUGCCAGAAUGUGACUCGUUACUUCCCUGAAUACUGUGAGCCUGUCCCGGACGGAGACUCAACGAGGAUACUCUCAGAAUUGGCUAAAGACACAAAGACUUAUCUCAUUGGAGGUGAGAGUUAGGCAGUUAAAAAUACUAUGGCUGCACUGCCUACACCUUGACCAUGCUUAAAAGCCAUGAUGUUGAAACACAUGAAUAGCUUGCUUGCUGGCAAGGCAACGAUAGACUUCUCUCUUUUAAACCUAUAACAAAGGACAGGAGAUGGUUUGAAUCUCUGAAAAUUUGAGCAACAUAUAAUGUAUCAGCUAAUCUCUACUCUGCAUGAAAGCAGAGAUACUAGUACCUCUGCUGAAAGUUAAAGUUUCCACCAUUCUUCGUCAGUUCUAACCCUCUCCAUCAUAAGUGACAGGGGUUAGCAUAUUGUUUGAAUUUGAUGCUAAUCACAAAUUCUGGCUAUCAAUAGUGUACAUCAAUAGACUUCCCCUAUUUCUUUUAAUAUUCUCUCACGUCCUGUACUAGACCACAGUGCUGCUAGAAUUGAUGUCAAGCAUUUUACAAUUUACCUGCGUUGAUAUUUAAAGACUAGUUAUUGGUACUUUUGUAAGGAUUAAUUAACAGAGUUUUCAGUGUCUAUAGGAUUUGGAAAUUUUUGACUAAAUGUGAGAGGUAUUUCAUCUCAUAUGGCCCUUGGAUUCAGUCUCUCCUGUAUGUCAUUCUAUCUGGUCUGUCUGUUCAGUUUAUUGCUUGUACUCACUGUCUUGCUAUAAUGCUGUUGAACUCCUUCAUGCUUAAGUGGUACCUGGGCUAAUAGUUCCAAUAUUGCAAUAGAUAUUAAUGUAUUUAGUGCAAGUAUUACUCAAAAGUAUAUUGUUUCACUUUAUUGGGCUAUUAGCACUUGGCAGUCUCACAUCAGUUGGUGGUGACAUUCAUGCUGUUUCAUUAUCAGAGAAGCUCAUUGCACUUGUUUUGAUGGUGUGGGGUGUGGUCAGGUACGGGUACAUUCUUGAAGGCGUGACCUCAACUCUGACCAAUCUUGAUGCAGCAAGAGGCAAGUACACUUAACAACUUCAGCCAAUCAAGAGUUACAUAUGAAAAUUGCAAAGAUUAGUUUAGUAUUAUUUAGAAGAGUUACCGACUAAUUGGAAUAUAAUUGGAGUUAUAGGAGUGGUGUUAUUGGUAAUUAAAGAUCUAUUAGAGGACCUUCCACUUGCACUUAGGAAUGAUGCAAGAAAUGAAAUGUAUCAAGACACUAUGAUAGCAUCCAAGUUAUUUCAUAGAAUGUCCCGUGUUUUUGAGGGUUUGAUGCUCUAGCUUCUAAAGUAAAGGAAUUGUUUUUCCUACCACAUCAAAUGAUUAUAUGAAACUGAUCAAUACCUUACUUCGGACUGCUGAAGCUGCUGAAGAAGCUGAUCCAAUUCAUUUAUUAAAGGAACUAAAGCCAGGAGAUGUUUUUGGAGAAGCAAUGCUGCAUAUAUUGAAAUGUUGAAAAAGAGAGGAGAGCAUUACAAAAGAGAAAUGGAACAAUCAAAAUAUAAUAAUGUGAUACUAAGUUAUAUGAGAAGCAAGUUUCCUACAGUAUCAAGGUACAUCUACAUGUACAUUAAGUCACACACAUCAUUUGUGCCAAAUUAGCCAUAACUAUUAUAAUCCAACCACCUCAUUUUGUUAAUGAGAAAGAAGUAGAAUUGUUGUAGCUAUGUAAAUAAGAAGCUUUAUACUGCUGCUUGAAAGGUUUCCACUGCCACCUUUUGCUUCGUGUUGACAUUUAUCAAGCUCCUUAUUUAUUUCGUUAAUAUGAUCCUGGCAUCUUCUUAUAGCACUGUUGCAUUUCUUCUCUUGGUUAUGCUGCUCUACUGCACACUGUUCCUUAUUUUUUUCGUCAACUUUUUUGCAUUCGACCAAAUCAUCAUCAAGCUUCUGUUUUCGUUUGGAGCAUCUAUCAAAUUCUUCUCUGCAUUCCUCAAGAUGACGUUGCUUUUGUUCGAUUUCAGCUUUUGAGGAAUUUUUGUCCUGUUCUAAGAGUCUCAUUGUAGCAUUAAAGUAUUCAGACUCUUUAUCAUGUUCCUCUGAUUUUUCUUCAUACUUUUGUUUGUAGUUAUCUUUUUCACUUAUUAUUAUUCCUUUUUCUUGGUCACACUUGGUACUUCUCCAAUCAGAUCCAAGAACGGAUCCAAUUAUAGCAGCAAUCGGGAUUAGCAAAACAGCAAUGAAGAUUAAUAAAAUUAUAUCCCAACUUGGAAUUCUCACCGGAUGGUUUGUUUGUGUGGCUACUGACUGCACAGCUAAAUUGUCUGUUUGUGUGGCUACUGACUCCACAGCUAAAUUGUCUGUUUGUGUGGCUACUGACUCCACAGCUAAAUUGUCUGUUUCUGUGGCUACUGACUGCAGAGAUAAAUUGUCUGUUUCUUUGGCUCUGGAAACUUUAUUGAUAUUAGCCCCAGGCUGGUUUCUCAAGCUACCAUCACUCAGUUAGUUUUUCUAAUGCUCCAGGUUUAUUGAUACCGACACCGAUACCUUAUUGACCUAAUACUUGUUAUUGACAUUAUAAUAUCAUUGAAGAAAUCAUUUGUCAUGGCUAAAGGUUAUGAAAGAGACCCAAUGACUAUAGCAUUAGCUUAUUCAAGUUCCUUUACAUUCCUGGUUAAUGUGGCAGCUUUAGUACCACAGAGAUACUAGCAGCUAGUCAUGUGUUGUUGCUAUUAAACUAAACUGGGCUGUAGCUUUUAAAAUAGACUGAUUGAAGCUAUGGAAGGUAAGCUAAAGAUACAGGUACAUUGCACAAACAAAAAUCUUUCUUACUGACAUGUACAUGUAGGGGAUUCUCUGGUUUGAUACUUGAUAGGUUAGAAAAGUCACUUCAUCAUUCCAUAUCAAGGCUUAGAGGUCUUAAGUUCUUAAUGUACAUCAUAUUGAUAACUCACUGGUCAGCUUGUGCCUGGUUCUCAAUAGCUUGUGAUCAGUUACUGGUACAGAGGUAAGACUGUAGCAUGUGCUCCUGGUAAGAGAUAGAGCCAACAAUAUACUGACUAAGCAGUGCAAGCCAACCAGUUGGAUUACUAUGAAUAACAUUGGAUGCUCCUCCUCAUCAGUCAUUCAUAACUAUAUAUUAUCAUUAUACUGGUCAACAACUACAACCACACUAUUUGGAUAUGGUGACAUUGCACCAGUGAAUAAUGAUGAGAGGGUAUUAGCAAUACGUGUCAUGUUACUUGGUAUUUGGUGCUAUGGGUAUAUGCCUGUUGCUGCUAUCAUCACUCAUACACAGUAACCUAGGGUUCAGUUUCAGAAGAGAUUACAAGCUGUCCAGGAGUUUAUGAAACACAAUAAAUUGAAUAGAGGUUAAUGACUUAUGGACUAAAUCAAAAGGUACUAAAAAAUCAGUCCUUUCUCAAUUUCACUCUCAUUUCAAUAAGAUAUAAAAAUGGAGGAGUGUUUUCCAUUGCUGUCAAGAGUCAUGCUCUUUAAUGAAGUAUCAAACGAGGACUUCAUGAAACGAAUAUCUCUAUCAUCAGUAACACACUAUUUUAAUAUUGAAGACAUCAUCCUAUAUCAUGGAGAGAAACUUAUAUUGUGUUUAAAAAAGGCUACUUAGAGGAUCUCUCUCAUGUGAUAUGGACUGCUUUUCCUGGUGGUAGACCUGGGUUUCAUUCUUGGGAUGCCACUAAUAGCAACAGUUCAGUCAGCAAGCCAGAGUGAAGUAUUGAAUAAUCUUAUACCAUGAUAAAAAAGAAGAUCUAAAGAAGAGAGAGAUAAAGACUGUUUGUGUAUCAAUAUGGACACUAAUGAACAUACAAUUGUGCUGUAUGGUAGCGAACAAUCUUUCUUGUUUAUGCUGCAACAAACACUGUAGUCAAAAUAUUUGAUUUGAGCCCAUGCAUUUUUAAGAUCGAUAUAUUAAUAGUA